GAUGAACGCUGGCGGCGUGCCUAAUACAUGCAAGUCGAGCGAACGGACGAGAAGCUUGCUUCUCUGAUGUUAGCGGCGGACGGGUGAGUAACACGUGGAUAACCUACCUAUAAGACUGGGAUAACUUCGGGAAACCGGAGCUAAUACCGGAUGAUAUUUUGAACCGCAUGGUUCAAAAGUGAAAGACGUUCUUGCUGUCACUUAUAGAUGGAUCCGCGCUGCAUUAGCUAGUUGGUAAGGUAACGGCUUACCAAGGCAACGAUGCAUAGCCGACCUGAGAGGGUGAUCGGCCACACUGGAACUGAGACACGGUCCAGACUCCUACGGGAGGCAGCAGUAGGGAAUCUUCCGCAAUGGGCGAAAGCCUGACGCAGCAACGCCGCGUGAGUGAUGAAGGUCUUCGGAUCGUAAAACUCUGUUAUUAGGGAAGAACAUAUGUGUAAGUAACUGCGCACAUCUUGACGGUACCUAAUCAGAAAGCCACGGCUAACUACGUG
rnacentral:rRNA from 1 species